GUCACUUUGCCGGAGUGGUUAACGGGAUCGCCUGCUAUAAACCACGAAGAACGCGUUGGGAUAUACGAAAGCGGUUGGGCUUUGCCCGCGAGUGUUCGAAUCGCUCAGGUGACG
rnacentral:tRNA from 1 species